AUUGAACGCUGGCGGCAUGCUUUACACAUGCAAGUCGAACGGUAACAGGCCGCAAGGUGCUGACGAGUGGCGAACGGGUGAGUAAUGCAUCGGAACGUGCCCAGUCGUGGGGGAUAACUACUCGAAAGAGUAGCUAAUACCGCAUACGAUCUAUGGAUGAAAGCGGGGGACCGUAAGGCCUCGCUCGAUUGGAGCGGCCGAUGUCAGAUUAGGUAGUUGGUGGGGUAAAGGCUCACCAAGCCAACGAUCUGUAGCUGGUCUGAGAGGACGACCAGCCACACUGGGACUGAGACACGGCCCAGACUCCUACGGGAGGCAGCAGUGGGGAAUUUUGGACAAUGGGCGCAAGCCUGAUCCAGCAAUGCCGAGUGCAGGAAGAAGGCCUUCGGGUUGUAAACUGCUUUUGUACGGAACGAAACGGCUCUGGUUAAUACCCGGGGCUAAUGACGGUACCGUAAGAAUAAGCACCGGCUAACUACGUG
rnacentral:rRNA from 1 species